CUUGACCGAACCCAGCCACAACGGAACAUCCCGGCCCUGACCGUACGUCGCCAGCAACGCCUGCGCCUC
rfam:Actinoplanes sp. N902-109, complete genome.